rnacentral:lncRNA from 1 species
CCUUUCUUCUAAGAAUCGUCGAAGCCGCUUUCGUAUUCGCUUUUUCCGUCGUCAUCUUUGGCAAAUAAUUUUUUCGGGUUUUUUUUUUUUUUUUCUCUCUAUUUUUGUUUUGUUUUGGGAUGUUGUUGGUUUUUUUUGGGUUUUUUUUUUUUUUUGGGUUUUUUUUAAAUCCGUAAUGUGGAGAAGACAAGUGUAAGUAAGUAAGUAACAAGGCAAAGCCGUAGCGUGGGGACAACGAGGACGAUGGCAAGCGAGGCUUUUGAGAUGCAGAGAGAUAGCUAAUGAGCGCCAGGAAUACACACACACAGACACACACACACACACGAUGGGGGCUGGGAAUUUAAACUUACUUCAUAUACAACAACAGCACAUCACACACACACACACACUCUAUCAUCUGUCUGCCUCUUUCUCUCUCUCGUAGUCAUCAGACUUAAUAGAAUAUGUACACACACAUGUGUGUGUAUGAUAUAUAUAUAUAGAGAGAGAGAGAUAUAUGUAUAAUGUGCUGUGUUUUUGAGCUUGUGCACUUAUGUAUGAAGUUGUGUUUAUCAACUGCCUAUAUAUCGGCGGUUUAUUUGAGGCCUUGUGUGUGUGUGUGUGUAUGUCUGUGUGUAUGUGUGUGUGUGUGUGUGUGUGUAUGUGUGUGUGCACGAAAAUAUAUAUAAGUAGUGAAAGAUAUAUAUAAUAUAUAAAGAAGCAAAGUAUUUGAGCGUGCGAUCGUAUGCGUCUUUGAACGUUAAUAAGACUUGGAAAAGCCUUAUGUGCGUGUGUUGAAGAGAGAGAGAGAGAGACAGACAGAGACAGAGAGAUAGUUGGAAGAAGUGUUUAGAGAACGUAUGUGUAUGUGGAGAGAGCAGAGAGAGAGAGAGAAACAAGGAUAUAGAUACAGAGAGAGAGAGAGAGAGAGACAGAGAGAUAGUUGGAAGAAGUGUUUAGAGAACGUAUGUGUGUGUGGAGCGAGAGAGAGAGAGAGAGAAACAAAGAGAUAGAUACAGAGCGGGAUAGAGAGAGAGAGAUAGUUGGAAGAAGUGUUAGAGAUCGUGUGUAGAGAGAGAAACAAGGAGAUAGAUAGAGGGCGGGAUAAAGAGAGAGAGAGAGCGUGUGUAUGUGUGUGUGUGUGUGUGUGUGCGUGAGAGACGAAAAUACUGUUGUGUAUGUGAUGAAAACACUGAAUGAGUGUGUGAGUGAGUGAGUGAGUGAUAAGUUAAGUGACAGAGAGAGAGAGAGAGAGAGAGAGAGAAAGAGGCAAGUUCCACUUCUGUUGUAUUCCAAUAUGCGAAGCUUGGUUUGUCAAAAAGUCCUCGAUGAAUGAUGGAAAGCACACAGAGGGGGAGGGAGAUAAAGAUGUGAGCAUAUAUAAUAUAUAAAUAUAUAUGUGUGUGUGUGGAGACACAGAAAGUCCCUCAACUAUAGAUAUAUUAGCACAGUACUAUAUUAGUUUUGUUUCGGGCUUGUUUGAUUUUUUCGUUUUACAUAUACAUACAUACAUACAUACAUACAUACAUACAUACAUACAUACAUACAUACAUACAAAUAAGUGUUUUGUUACAAGACUAGAAAUGAUGACUUUUGGUGAGGAUUUUUAAUGGUUGAGGG